AGAGUUUGAUCCUGGCUCAGGACGAACGCUGGCGGCGUGCCUAACACAUGCAAGUCGAGCGGGGAACGGAUGGUAGCUUGCUACCGUUUGUUUCUAGCGGCGGACGGGUGAGUAACGCGUGAGCAACCUGCCUUUAUCAGGGGGAUAACGCAUCGAAAGAUGUGCUAAUACCGCGUAAGACCACAGCUUCACAUGGAGCGGGGGUCAAAGGAGCAAUCCGGAUAAAGAUGGGCUCGCGUCCGAUUAGCUAGUUGGUGAGAUAACAGCCCACCAAGGCGACGAUCGGUAGCCGACCUGAGAGGGUGAUCGGCCACAUUGGAACUGAGAGACGGUCCAGACUCCUACGGGAGGCAGCAGUGGGGAAUAUUGGGCAAUGGGCGAAAGCCUGACCCAGCAACGCCGCGUGAGGGAAGAAGGGUUUCGGCUCGUAAACCUCUGUCCUAUGGGACGAAGGAAGUGACGGUACCAUAGGAGGAAGCCCCGGCUAACUACGUGCCAGCAGCCGCGGUAAUACGUAGGGGGCGAGCGUUGUCCGGAAUGAUUGGGCGUAAAGGGCGCGUAGGCGGCCUGCUAAGUCUGGAGUGAAAGUCCUGCUUUCAAGGUGGGAAUUGCUUUGGAUACUGGUGGGCUGGAGUGCAGGAGAGGAAAGCGGAAUUACCGGUGUAGCGGUGAAAUGCGUAGAGAUCGGUAGGAACACCAGUGGCGAAGGCGGCUUUCUGGACUGAAACUGACGCUGAGGCGCGAAAGCGUGGGGAGCAAACAGGAUUAGAUACCCUGGUAGUCCACGCC
rnacentral:rRNA from 1 species